rnacentral:misc_RNA from 1 species
AAUGUCGUAACAAGGUUUCCGUAGGUGAACCUGCGGAAGGAUCAUUACAGAGUUCAUGCCCGUCACGGGGUAGGAUCUCCCACCCUUGUAUAUAUAAUUCACUGUUGCUUUGGCGGGCCGCGAGCCUCGCUCGCUGGGUUCUGCCCGGCGUGCCCGCCAGAGGAAAGCCUAAACUCUGAAUGUUAGUGUCGUCUGAGUCACUAUAUAACUAGUUAAAA